rnacentral:rRNA from 1 species
UUCUAAGGGCGUUGAAGCAUGAUCGCAAGGACAUGUGGAGCGCUUAGAAGUGAGAAUGCCGGUGUGAGUAGCGAAAGACGGGUGAGAAUCCCGUCCACCGAUUGACUAAGGUUUCCAGAGGAAGGCUCGUCCGCUCUGGGUUAGUCGGGUCCUAAGCUGAGGCCGACAGGCGUAGGCGAUGGAUAACAGGUUGAUAUUCCUGUACCACCAUUAUUCGUUUUAAGCGAUGGGGGGACGCAGUAGGAUAGGCGAAGCGUGCUGUUGGAGUGCACGUCCAAGCAGUGAGAUUGAGUGUUAGGCAAAUCCGGCACUCUUAAGAUUGAGCUGUGAUGGGGAGAGGAACUUGUUCCUCGAGUCGUUGAUUUCACACUGCCGAGAAAAGCCUCUAGCUAGAAUAACGGUGCCCGUACCGCAAACCGACACAGGUAGUCAAGAUGAGAAUUCUAAGGUGAGCGAGCGAACUCUCGUUAAGGAACUCGGCAAAAUGACCCCGUAACUUCGGGAGAAGGGGUGCUCUUUGAGGUUCACGCUUCGAAGAGCCGCAGUGAAUAGGCCCAAGCGACUGUUUAUCAAAAACACAGGUCUCUGCUAAACCGUAAGGUGACGUAUAGGGGCUGACGCCUGCCCGGUGCUGGAAGGUUAAGAGGAGUGGUUAGCGCAAGCGAAGCUACGAAUCGAAGCCCCAGUAAACGGCGGCCGUAACUAUAACGGUCCUAAGGUAGCGAAAUUCCUUGUCGGGUAAGUUCCGACCCGCACGAAAGGCGUAACGAUUUGGGCACUGUCUCAACGAGAGACUCGGUGAAAUCAUAGUACCGGUGAAGAUGCCGGUUACCCGCGACAGGACGGAAAGACCCCGUGGAGCUUUACUGUAGCCUGAUAUUGAAAUUCGGUACAGUUUGUACAGGAUAGGUAGGAGCCUUAGAAGCGUGAGCGCUAGCUUACGUGGAGGCAUUGGUGGGAUACUACCCUAAUUGUAUUGGAUUUCUAACCCGCAGCACUUAUCGUGCUGGGAGACAGUGUCAGGCGGGCAGUUUGACUGGGGCGGUCGCCUCCUAAAGAGUAACGGAGGCGCUCAAAGGUUCCCUCAGAAUGGUUGGAAAUCAUUCAUAGAGUGUAAAGGCAUAAGGGAGCUUGACUGCGAGACCUACAAGUCGAGCAGGGUCGAAAGACGGA